rnacentral:rRNA from 1 species
GAUGAACGCUGGCGGCGUGCCUAAUACAUGCAAGUCGAGCGAACAGACGAGGAGCUUGCUCCUCUGACGUUAGCGGCGGACGGGUGAGUAACACGUGGAUAACCUACCUAUAAGACUGGGAUAACUUCGGGAAACCGGAGCUAAUACCGGAGAAUAUAUUGAACCGCAUGGUUCAAUAGUGAAAGACGGUUUUGCUGGCACUUAUAGAUGGAUCCGCGCCGCAUUAGCUAGUUGGUAAGGUCACAGCUUACCAAGGCAACGAGGCGUAGCCGACCGGAGAGGGGGAUCGGCCACACUGGAACUGAGACACGGUCCAGACUCCUACGGGAGGCAGCAGUAGGGAAUCUGCCGCAAUGGGCGAAAGCCUGACGGAGCAACGCCGCGUGAGUGAUGAAGGUCUUCGGAUCGUAAAACUCUGUUAUUAGGGAAGAACAAAUGUGUAAGUAACUAUGCACGUCUUGACGGUACCUAAUCAGAAAGCCACGGCUAACUACGUG